rnacentral:rRNA from 1 species
AGAGUUUGAUCAUGGCUCAGGAUGAACGCUAGCUACAGGCUUAACACAUGCAAGUCGAGGGGCAUCAGUUUGGUUUGCUUGCAAACCAAAGCUGGCGACCGGCGCACGGGUGAGUAACACGUAUCCAACCUGCCUCAUACUCGGGGAUAGCCUUUCGAAAGAAAGAUUAAUAUCCGAUAGCAUAUAUUUCCCGCAUGGGUUUUAUAUUAAAGAAAUUCGGUAUGAGAUGGGGAUGCGUUCCAUUAGUUUGUUGGCGGGGUAACGGCCCACCAAGACUACGAUGGAUAGGGGUUCUGGAGAGGAAGGUCCCCACGAUUGGAACUGAGACACGGUCCAAACUCCUACGGGAGGCGA